GNAUUUAUUGGGCGUAAAGGGAGCGCAGGCGNUCAGGAAAGUCUGGAGUAAAAGGCUAUGGCUCAACCAUAGUGUGCUCUGGAAACUNUCUGACUUGAGUGCAGAAGGGGAGAGUGGAAUUCCAUGUGUAGCGGUGAAAUGCGUAGAUAUAUGGAGGAACACCAGUGGCGAAAGCGGCUCUNUGGUCUGUCACUGACGCUGAGGCUCGAAAGCGUGGGUAGCGAACAGGAUUAGAUACCCUGGUAGUNCACGCCGUAAACGAUGAGUGCUAGGUGUUAGGCCCUUUCCGGGGCUUAGUGCCGGAGCUAACGCAAUAAGCACUCCGCCUGGGGAGUACGACCGCAAGGUUGAAACUCAAAGGAAUUGACGGGGGCCCGCACAAGCGGUGGAGCAUGUGGUUUAAUUCGAAGCAACGCGAAGAACCUUACCAGGUCUUGACAUCCCGAUGCUAUUCUUAGAGAUAGGAAGUUACUUCGGUACAUCGGAGACAGGUGGUGCAUGGUUGUCGUCAGCUCGUGUCGUGAGAUGUUGGGUUAANNNNCGCAACGAGCGCAACCCUUAUUGUUAGUUGCCAUCAUUAAGUUGGGCACUCUAGCGAGACUGCCGGUAAUAAACCGGAGGAAGGUGGGGAUGACGUCAAAUCAUCAUGCCCCUUAUGACCUGGGCUACACACGUGCUACAAUGGUCGGUACAACGAGUUGCGAGCCGGUGACGGCAAGCUAAUCUCUGAAAGCCGAUCUCAGUUCGGAUUGGAGGCUGCAACUCGCCUCCAUGAAGUCGGAAUCGCUAGUAAUCGCGGAUCAGCACGCCGCGGUGAAUACGUUCCCGGGCCU
rnacentral:rRNA from 1 species